AGCGAACGCUGGCGGCAGGCUUAACACAUGCAAGUCGAGCGGGCAUCCUUGUGGUGUCAGCGGCAGACGGGUGAGUAACGCGUGGGAACGUGCCCUUCGGUUCGGAAUAACUCAGGGAAACUUGAGCUAAUACUGGAUACGCCCUUUUGGGGAAAGGUUUACUGCCGAAGGAUCGGCCCGCGUCUGAUUAGCUAGUUGGUGAGGUUAUGGCUCACCAAGGCGACGAUCAGUAGCUGGUCUGAGAGGAUGAUCAGCCACACUGGGACUGAGACACGGCCCAGACUCCUACGGGAGGCAGCAGUGGGGAAUAUUGGACAAUGGGGGCAACCCUGAUCCAGCCAUGCCGCGUGAGUGAUGACGGCCUUAGGGUUGUAAAGCUCUUUUCUCCGGGACGAUAAUGACGGUACCGGAGGAAUAAGCCCCGGCUAACUUCGUG
rnacentral:rRNA from 1 species